rnacentral:lncRNA from 1 species
AAAAAAAAUUCCUGCAAUCCAAAUCACGGAUCCAUGUGCGAGGAACUAAUCAGGGUGAAAAAGGUUUUGAAAUUACCGAAACUUCAAUCUGAGUAGAUAGUGAAGCCUCGAUAAUGAGAAUACUGAUUUGCUUUCGAAUCCAAGCUGCAAUCUUUAUGAUCCCGACCUCUACAUAAUCCACCCAGUUGACAAUGAACGGAAGAAAUCUCCAAAACUAUUUUCAAAGAUAUUUU